UCUCCUCUCAGGGAAGCUUUUUGCUCGGGUUAUGUUUUGGAUCUGAAUAUAAGACGAACAAAAGGUUUGUCUGUGUGCAG
rnacentral:pre_miRNA from 15 species